rnacentral:rRNA from 1 species
GAUGAACGCUGGCGGCGUGCCUAAUACAUGCAAGUCGAACGCUGGAAAUCUAGCUUGCUAGAUUGAAGGAGUGGCGAACGGGUGAGUAAUACAUAAGCAACCUACCCACGAAGACUGGGAUAAUCUCUGGAAGGGGGGACUAAUACCGGAUAGGUAAUCGGAAGGCAUCUUCUGAUUAUUAAAGGUUAAAAACACUGGUGGAUGGGCUUAUGGCGCAUUAGUUAGUUGGUGAGGUAACGGCCCACCAAGACGAUGAUGCGUAGCCGGCCUGAGAGGGUGAACGGCCACAUUGGGACUGAGACACGGCCCAGACUCCUACGGGAGGCAGCAGUAGGGAAUUUUAGGCAAUGGGGGAAACCCUGACCGAGCAACGCCGCGUGAGUGAUGACGGCCUUCGGGGUGUAAAGCUCUGUUGUAAGGGAAGAACGGUAGAUAGAGAAUAUCUAAAUGACGGUACCUUACCAGAAAGCCACGGCUAACUACGUG